rnacentral:rRNA from 1 species
GGGGCGAAGCUGACGCAGCAACGCCGCGUGGAUGAUGAAGGNCUUCNGAAUGUAAAGUCCUUUUGUAGAGGAAGAAUGACCUGGUUUGGGAGUGGGACGGACUUUCGCGAAUAACCCACGAUUACCCGGGUACCUACGUCCCCGCGGUUCCGGGGGUGGNAAGGGUGGGCG